rnacentral:lncRNA from 1 species
UCAUUUAGCACAUCUUUAUUGUUACAUUCUAUUUAGCCACAUCUUUUGAACAAUCAUUACCGACAGUGUUGCUGAAAGGGAUGAGAACAAAGUGGAAUUGAUACUGUCUCCGGGGAUUCUAAUAUUCCUGUUGUUGUGUCCAUUGUGUCCAUGAGUUCCCACUUUAAUUUCUUGUUUGUUACUAGGAUCCAACUCUUGGCUUUUCGUAAAUCUCUGCCCAACUCCCUGUGCCAAUGGUAUUUUAUUGUUGUUGUUGUUGUUGUUUUUUUUUUUUUUUUUUUUUUGAACCCAUUAUUUUUCUUUUGCAAGAAUUAUCUUGUCUUAAUGUCUAGCACCUUCUAGAAGAUUAAAAUCAUUGCAUGACAAAUAUAAACAAUGGAAUAAAAUCAUAUGGAAAUUAGAAAUACCUAAAAUACUUUACUAUAGUCUUCUCAGAAUCCAGAUCUUCUUUUGAUGCAUUAGAUUGUCUAUCUAUUGUUGAUACUCUGAAGGGUCACAAGCAAAUGAAUCUGACAUGGAUAGAUAAGUAUUCAAGCUCUAAUUAUUGCCUUUAUUAAACAUAUACACUCAGACAAACUAGUGCUUCGAAUCAAACAAAAGUAUUUUCCCUAUAAAGUAGAUUGAAGCUAUAUGUAACACAGGAGACAAUAGUGUUUGUAAGAUACGCUACUAGGACAAAACAAUGUUUAGUAGACCCUGCAGAGUGAGAAUCCAGCAGACCUUAAUGCAUGAUUAGAUGAGCCUUGUGGCCAAGAGUGGAAUACUAUAAAAUAUUUCCAAGUCUUUUCAUUAGACUCAAAAAUAUAAGCCAUAUACUCUUUUUUACAGUUGUCUGCUGGGUUAAUCUUGCUUGUUACCAAAUUAUUGUUUUAAAAUUCCUACAUGGUUUAAAGCUACACAAAACAGAUAUGCACACAUGCUUAAAACAACCCCUAGUGGUUUCACCCAAGUAAAUUCGAGGAGUCUUAGAGUUGAUUGUUGAGGAAUCCAUUGUCUUGCAAAUGAAUCCCAGAAAGGCAAACUAUUGAACUGAUAUUGGCACAACAUAUAGUGUAACACAAUAAUGCCAGAUAAUCUCAGAUUUGGAAGAGACUUUAUGUAGAAACAGAGCAUACAUUUUACUUUGCUUAGUGUUCUAAUUUCCUGGUCCCAAUGCUAACAUUUUUUCUCCUUUUCUUUGAUCCCUAUUUGGAGGAAGAAUAUAUAUUCAUUAUCUGGGUUGAGUGGCAGAUUUGAUAACUGGAAACCACAGAGCC